GUUGAAGGUUGGCAACCAACCUUCUGCCUAACUGGAGAGCCGUGUCACAUUAUCUCUCAUUCCCUCUCCUAUAAAUAGGAAAGGAUGCUUCACAGUUCAGUGUACCAACAAUAAGUGAGAGACAUUAGAGAGUCACAGAUAUAAUAAAAAAGCCGGCAGACUUGUUUACUUGCCUUGUCACCCAAGACACAGAAACAUUACUGUGGGUUCUUCACGAUUGGAAUGACGAUGAAUGUAUCAAUAUCUUGAAGAAGUGCAAGGAAGCUAUUCCGAAUGAAAUUGGGAAGCUGAUAAUUGUUGAAGCUGUGGUCGAUGAAG